UGCAAUGCCAUCUUCCUUAUUUUGUUGGAUGGAUUGGCGAAAGGAGAUCCAUUUUUUUACUUUUGAGCAAAUUGAAAUUCAUCCCAAAAAAAUUUCAUCACCUUUUUUUUCAUUUCUUAACAAUGCUCCUAAUCCAUAAAGGGAUAGUGCUUUGGUACAGGAUUAUCUUAUCAACAUGAGUCGUAGAUUAAACCCAUAACUCUCUACUUUAUUAUCAUUGCCUGCAAACCACUUCCAACACCAUAACUUCAGUAUCCAUAACCAUGACACCACUGCUAUAUCCACUUCUCUUCAUUAAUGUUUAAUGUUGUGCCUGUUAAUGGCUGGUGCAGACCAUGGCGCAACUGGAUAUCUAGAAAUCAUGGCAUUAAGGUACAUGGCCAGUAUGAUUAAGUUCGCGAAGUAUCUCGUUCUCGCAGCAGAUCUGAAUCCUAACAGAGCCCUUGUAGUUGUUGUUGUUGUAAUGAUCACUCGUUGAUGAAUUGAUGAUGGUGGUAAAGGAAGAGGAACUGCUAGUUCGAGUCUCGUUGUGGGAGAGGUACGAUUGGGUCUAGUUGCCUUCAUGACCGGUUCCAGUUGCCUGUUCUUGUUGCUAUUAUCACUACCUGUUGUCGUUACUAUCACUGUCUAGUAUUGCUACUCUCGCAGAUUAAUCAAGUUAAUGCCGAUAAAGAUGUACGGUUACAGAUUUGGGAGGUGCAAAUGUUGGCAGAGGUUCUAGGGGCGGUGGUGGAGGUAGAGGAGGAGCAGUGGUGGAGGUGGAGAAGGAGGAGCGACGGCAGAGAUUUGAGACAAAAUCCUUGUUUGUUUUUCUAGAAAGUUUGAUUUUUUUUUUACUCGGGAAAAUUGUUGCUACCUAUAAUAGAUUUUUAACUUUCUAUGAUUUAUAAUUUUGUUAAAACUGUCUUUCUAGGGUGAUUUAAGAG
rnacentral:lncRNA from 1 species